rnacentral:lncRNA from 1 species
UCCUCUCAGCAAGCUUUAAUCUCCAGCUGGCCGCUGGUCCAAGCCGCGUGUCGGGUGUGUGUAUGGGUUUCCCUGUGAGCGUGUCUUCUCAACGGGCUAGCGACUCGGCGCAGCUCUGAAGAGUGGAGAUUGGCGAUUUGGGGUGCUGGAUACGCCUCGGUUCCAAGCUGUGGCUAGAGGAUCCCCGCCGUCGUGUUGUUCCGGCUGUCGGUGCUACUUCCGCGGCUGCUCCUUGGGCGCUGCUUCGCUGUCCACGCGAAUUGUGCCGUUGCUGUUCUGGUCAUCCAUCUCGCCCUGCGUCUGCUCGGCCUGCUGCUUUGCCCUGCGUGCGAUCUGGUUUGUAUUGUUUCCUCUGGUAUUAGAUUUGUUGUCGUGGGCUGUGUUCGGUACGGUGUUUCUUGAGCAACGAUGUCGUUGGAUUAGGCGCUGAUUUUUAUGGACGCCGCUUAUGUGCUACNNNNNNNNNNNNNNNNNNNNNNNNNNNNNNNNNNNNNNNNNNNNNNNNNNNNNNNNNNNNNNNNNNNNNNNNNNNNNNNNNNNNNNNNNNNNNNNNNNNNNNNNNNNNNNNNNNNNNNNNNNNNNNNNNNNNNNNNNNNNNNNNNNNNNNNNNNNNNNNNNNNNNNNNNNNNNNNNNNNNNNNNNNNNNNNNNNNNNNNNNNNNNNNNNNNNNNNNNNNNNNNNNNNNNNNNNNNNNNNNNNNNNNNNNNNNNNNNNNNNNNNNNNNNNNNNNNNNNNNNNNNNNNNNNNNNNNNNNNNNNNNNNNNNNNNNNNNNNNNNNNNNNNNNNNNNNNNNNNNNNNNNNNNNNNNNNNNNNNNNNNNNNNNNNNNNNNNNNNNNNNNNNNNNNNNNNNNNNNNNNNNNNNNNNNNNNCUUUGACAGAAGUAGAUAGGAUCGAUGCACCCACCGCAUAGAGCUCAAUGAAGCUCGUCAAUCCAGCAAUACAUGGCAUCGGGUAGCGUCGCGACACGUCAACCAACCACGCAGCCACCAUUGUCUUACCUGCUCUAAGCAUGCACUUAACGUUGUUUCAGAUGGAAUGCAUUCAACAUACAUGGUGGAAGAGAGUUGCCCCCAGGCCCCCAGUACUGAACCACGACGUCCACAAUAAGGAGAUGGAGAUCAUCGUCCCAGGGGUAAUCAAUUUAAACUUUGCUAACAAUAUGCGUGCACUUGCCAGAGAGGUGCAUUCAAUACUUCCCUACUUGAGGGGAUCGCAUAUACUAAAUUAAAAUGCAGUGAUCACAUAACAGAUUAUAAAUUGUUUUCUUAAUUUACACACACUGUACACCUGCUUUCCCAAAUCGGCAUUACCAUAUCACCGUAUAUCCAACCUUUAGGCGCAACAGGCAACCUACAAUUGGAGUGAUGGUUCAGUAAGAAAGAACAUUUAGCACAAAGAAAGAUGAAUUUUGAAAAAAAAAACUUGCAGUGAACACAGAAAAAAUCGAUGCUCGACUGACUACUAAUACCAUCUCAAAAUAUGCAAGAUGCAAGAUGCUUGACUGACUACUAAUACCAUCCAAAAAUCAAUGCUCAACUGACUACUAAUACCAUCUAAAAAUAAGAGGUCAAACCAAUCAAGUGAAAGACUUUUGAACUGGAAUUAGACACAUUGUACAUCAUCAAUCAUUAGGAGCUGGACCCCAUAGAAUCUUUUCGGCUUCGGUUGUAUGAUUAGAAUUUGGCUUCAAACUAACUAAACUAAAGAGUUUUUUUCCUUGUCCACUCUUUUGUUGCUAAAUUAUGAUCCAUAAAGUUAUAGUGCAUCUUGGAAAGGUUAUAAUAGUUUUGGUUACAGGGUUGAUGAUAUAUCUAUGGAUAUUAUGUUGACUGAUAGCCCAUGGUUCAUCUGAGCUCACUUUGGCGCGAAUGCGGUGAUGAAGGUUCGACCUGCAGUUUCAGAUUUCCCUUGACUCAUUCAGUGCAGCUUCCUUCGUGACGUAUGCCACAUGCUAAUAUCAACUUUCUCAUUGUAUAUAAAUUUUCAGGAGAAAAAAGGAAAAAGUUGAUACGGUUUUCCUUGCAGCUCAAUUUUCACACCCUUCCCAGGUUAAUAUUCACUGCUUUCUUUGGACCAACUUUAUGCUGCCUUUUCUCUGCACACACCUCAUCAAAACUGAACCAAGAGGCAUCACAUAGGUUUAGAUGGCGCGUGUGAACAUGGUUUAAGAUAUGAUAUUUCUUGGAGAGAGCAAACUAACCCUUUCAAUUUCACGAUCUAUUAACUAAAAUAUUGAUCGACGGCACAUUCUGAUGCUUCAACUUUGUUUUUGCCUUAUUGUCACUUAAUUAGGUAAUAUAGUAAGAAAGAAUACUGAAUGAGACUCGAAGGAAUUUUGAUGUCAACUCGUGAUUAGCAGAACUUAAAAUGAUCUCUUUAGACAAGUAUCAGAUUAAAGAAACCAAUAUAGAACCUUAUUAAAUAGGGACUUAGCUGGAAGGUGAGAAAGAAAUUACAAUUGCUAUUGGUGCAACAAUACAAAAUUUAGCUUAGCUAUCUAUCAGAUUUCUUGACUCAAAUUCCAGCUAGCAAAGACGAAGAUUGAAUCCCCAAAAAUCCAUGCUAAACCAAAUAUAGACUUGUUGAUUUACCUCAAUUGAAUUAUUUAUAAAACAUUAUACAUGAACUUGUUUUAAAUACAUGACAAAAUCUAGCUGAGCUAAACCUUCCUGGAAUCUUAUGUGGAUUUUUAGAGUUUAGACCAAGGAGAAAUGGGGAAAUAAUUCGGGACAGAGGGUAGUGCACACGGGAGCCUCAGAAUAGCGGGUAGCCUAGCGAUGUUUAUAGGAAAAAGGUGGCUUUUGUCUCAUCAGUGAGUUUGUUGCCCAAUGCCCGUGCUACUGAUAUAAUGUCGUUCAUGACAUACCUCGCCCAGUUCAAAUUCGGGAUGUCAUCCAAAUUUUAUGAGAGCCACAAAAUAUGUUGGAAGAAUAACUACGGAUCAAAUGGACCUCGAACUUUAUCUCACCGUGAACACCACAUCAAUCACAUUCUAACAGGAGGCCUCAGCCAUCGCCAAGGCAUCUCAUGGAACAUGGGGGAAACUCCAAAUCGAACAGAGCAACACAAAAAUAGGAAUCAGGCAUGAGGAAAGGGGAAUAAGCUAACCUGGGUAAUGGGAUCAGCAGGCCCAGGAGGGUGCCACCAUGCCAGUGGCCUCCACAAGAAUAAUCUUGCACACGAUGUCGCCUCAAGCAAUGGAUCGCCAACACCAGAACCGAAGCACUUGUUGUUCAUGGUUUCAGUUAUGAGAUAUCCCGUGAACUGAGGUACAAAUCACAAAUAGGUCAGCUCAUGAGCUAAAGAAUAUAAUCUUAUCCAAGAAAAGAUAAAAUAGUUCGCAGCAACAAAGCUUUAUUAAGUUCUUUACUAAGAAAGCUAACUUAGAAAUUACAGCCCAAACAGAGAAUAAAUGGUUUAGAACAGGCAUAAAUCUGAUCCAUCUUCCAUCAUCAAUAAUAAAAACAGGAAAUCUUGAAAUCCUUGAUCCAAACAUCAUAAGUCACAAAAGUCGAAGCAAACAGUGAACUGAAAAUUACUCUGAAAAAAACUUUUCUUUUGUUGACUCUAAACGAAGCCCAUGCCCUGUUACUCCAUUCUUUUGUUGACUCUAAAUGAAGCGUGAUUUAUAUGUUCGAUUACAGCCAUGACUUGGCGAUAUUCUAAAGAAUAUAACUAUAAGACCAGAGAUAGAAAACUAACAGAGAAUGCUGAGAAUAGAGAACACCUGUAAUAUAGUAAUGGUACAAAAAUUUGGUCGUAAGGUUGUGUGUGGCCGACAAGGGUGGCUCAGGGAGCGCACCAUGCAGCAGCGUGCGAGCGCUGCGGAAGAUGGGGAUGGGAGGGAGGCGUUUGCGUGCGCAUUUGGUGAUCAAAUGGCUCAGGAGGGGACCGAUCUUGGGAUAGGAUCAGUCAACCAACAUGUAGUAGUGACCUGACCGGAAAGGUAGGAUUUGCAUGAGCAGGUCAACAGAGAAUUAUAAUGUCAGCAUAUAGCAAUAAAACCAAUGAGCACUAUCAAGUUACCAAAAAGAGGGCGUUUACCGACAGCUUACCGUUAAUUUGCAGUCGUACCACUCAGUUAAAAUUAAGAAUAACCACACCUCAUUCAAUUAUGAUUCAAACAACAUGAACAAUUAUCCGUGAAGUUCAUUUCUAAACUACGCGCUUAUUAAGAUAGGUGUUUACCGGUAAUAGGGUAAAAUGAUACAUAAGUUUUAACUUCAGGAUAGGUAUUUACUGUAUUUUUCAGAGAUGGACAUGCGGGUCACCCCAUUAACUCAACAAGUAGAUAUAUUAGCUAGCUAUUGGUGUUCUCAGAAACCAUAAAUAGUUUAAACCGAAUUAUGUGUGCUUGUGCAGAUAGUAUAGAUGUAUGAUGGAUUCCUAGUUGCCGUGAUCAAUGAUCAAGGAGAUGCUUCUACAUGCAUACGCAUAGAACUAAGCAUUCAUUCUUCUCCUUGAUUCUAUUCUCCUGUUAAGCUCUCAAAUUUCUACACAUUUAUGAUAGAAAAAUGUGAUACUACAACUGCAGUUUAUAUUGCUGUAUUUAUAUGCUUCCAUACACAUGCUAUGAAGCACGAAACAUGACAAGGAAAAUACAAAGGAUAGCCUAAAGCAAAACAAUGGGGUUAACUAAAAUUUACCUAUUCUAAACUUGUUUCUUUCUGAACAGAGCAUCAACUCAAACCACAUAUAGCAGUGAAGCAACAAUGAUAUUUUCUCUAAAAAUCCAACACAGUGCCACAGACAGCACACAACACACUUAAGUACAAAAAAUCAUCAUUUUCCUUUGAAAGGGAGGGCGUUGGUUGGGUAAUGUGUACCAAAAAAUCAUGCCAAAUUUGAACGAAAGCCUGGGCAACCACUGAGACAUAAAGGAGUCAGAGGGGAGGUAAGGAGGAUUGGGAGUAGGUCAUCUAUGCAAGGAAGAUCACGGGGACCAAAAUCCUACAUGAGACUGAAAUGGAAAGGUUGCCCAAGGCAGACAAGAAUCAUCGGAAUCAUUUUCGAAUCUAAAAAUGGAAUAUAGACAGCAGUGACGAUAGUAGUAGAUGCAGAAUUAUGCUUAAGAGCACAACUGAAAUCUAUAUAACCGUCGUAUUCAUGUGCAGACAUAUCUUCAUCACAUCAUCGUUUUCCAAGUAUAGUUAAUAAGAAAUCCGAUUCACAUAUGUCCUGGUCAUCCCAUUUAUGCUGAAUAUAUUCAAGGCACUUCUGUAACAAUUUUUUUUAAAUACCCACUGUUAUCUAAUAUCUAGUAAACUGGGUACAAAAGACGGAGGCAAGAAGCCCAUGUUCUCUCAGAUCGAGUAUAUCCCUGUCCUGAAUGGUGUAUCCAAGGUUCCCCAUGUCAUGUUUAAGUACGAAUCACUUGUUUAUUGUGACAUGGACCACUGAUAUCUGAAAUAUAUGAAAAGACCCAUCAGGGCCCAGGAAAAAUAUGCCCUCCUAAAAGUAAAAGAAUGUCCCUGCUAUUUAAAAGAAGAUUGGCACUAAUAAGAGGCUAAGGAGAAGCAAAAUAAGCAAAGUAAAUGUCUGAAAAAUAAGAGGAGAGCAUCUUCGACAUUACCUAGAUACAUUCAGAAAAUCAAAAGCACCUGAACUAACAACUAAAACAGUGCCCUGAAAUAGAAUCCCAGACAUGAAGCUAUAAGCAUAAAUAACAACCAACGCAAAAUCAAAAGAAAUAAAAAUAUGUGCAUCACAAAAUACUAUUAGGAGAUCAGGUCUACUGUACAAAUAUGAGGCAGCUGCCAUACAAUCUCUAGAUGCGAAACAGCUGCAUUCAUAACUAUAUAUGCAUUAGCAAGAUAAAUCACUCUACCGAUUUGUAAGCAGCAAACCAGCUCAAAUGUAGUCAUCAUCAGUAACUCUUGCUUCGAUAAUAACAGCCAACCACCAUGUAUAUCCAUCCAUGAUACAUAAAGGGGGAGAAGUAAAUUACGUUGAAUGAGAAUUAAUUAAUUGCCACGCGGCUGCAGCUGCCAAACAUGCCACGGUUAAAUACAUGGAUUUUGUCAGGGAUCUGGGUACAUGAAAAUAGACAAAGUAACAAAUCAAUUAGAAGGAGCCAAAACAAGCAGAGGUGGUCAGUGAGAAUACCCGCAGGCGCCCCAACAGGCUAUAGACACCAUGUCACCGUGACAUGAGCCGAGACAUGGUGCCUAACAUGAGCCGAGACAGGCCGGCGAAACUGUAACAUGACGUGCAACAUGUAAGAAAGUAAGCAUCCAGGGAAGAUAGGCUGGCAGGCCAAGCAACUAAAUUAGAACACAUACACCCAUUUCUUGCACAGAGCAGUGCUUGUAAUCCCUUUAUUUAUUUUCAUUAACAAAGUGAGAAUGCAGGGUUAUUUUUUCAUUAAAAAAUGUGAGAAUGCAGGGCGGAGAAGGAUGAGGAAGCAACGAUAGAAAGCUCUAUUACCUCACACGGCCAUUCGAACUAAUCACCAGGAGACAAAAGAACAUAUUAGGCUCUAGGAAUUAACACAACCUCUAUUGCUUUGUUCAUACACACUCAAUUCUGAAAAAGGAAAACAUAAGCUUCAGGAGCAAACAAAUAGAAUAUGAAAACUGUAUAUAUAUACAGAGAAAACAAAAAUAGGAACGCAAACUGUCAUAUUACUCCCAGGUGUGAAGAGCCAAAGCUAUUUUCAAGCAGUAUUAUAAGCUAGCUCUAGAUUUUACUCCAUAGUAAACAGAAUAGUUUUGUAAGGUAGCUCUAGAUUUUAUACGAUUCAAAAAAGCAGCAGAUGGACACAUGAUUGUACAACUGAUGCAUAGUCACCCUCUUCUUGGAAUAGCCCACGGCUUAUACAUAUAGAUGAAAAUUUCAUCCAAACAUGCCAGUGUUUUUAGGCCAUUAAAUGGAAAGUGAUGCAUUUUUUGUUUGUCAAGUCCCUAUUGACCCACAGGGCAAACAGUGGUGUUUUACCAGGCCAACUAUUUUCAAAAUUUCACUAAACAGAACCCAACACCCAAAAGUAAUAGAGGGACGUUCUCCUCAUUAGCAUACAGACUGCACAGAGGUGAGCUAUAUGGACUCUACAACCAGCAGCAAGUGCAAGAUGUGUAGUGUGUAUGCCUAGUUGCCUACCAAGUUCUACUUCAUUCUACUGGUCAGAACUCUCUAAGGCGUCCGCCUUGCCUUAUGCCUUACCGCUUAGGCGGUGAGGCGCCCCCCCCAGCGCCUUGCCUCGCCUUACUGCCUUAAAAACAUAGCUCAUCAGUUACCUACGCCAUCUCACAACGCCAAAAACAUCCAUUCAUGGCAGAGAAUAUAUCAUCCACCACCGCAACGGAAAAGGAAACAUAAACGAAUUAAAUGAACAUGUAAAGACAAUAAAAGAAAAUUGUGCUUAAAAAGAACCAGGUCCAUACGCCUUGAGAUGGUUCAACAAAGCAGUAGCAUGGCAAGGAUCAAGAUAGAACUUCAUGUCACGCUAUGGUCAUGCAUUACUGAAACGAAAAAAGGGACGUUGAAGAUAGCUGACCUCAAUGCAUAUUUUUUUGCUGAGGGGGGCAAGACUGCUACCAGAUUUUGUUUCAGAUUUCAGGUUUAACCAUCCACAAAAGUAAUUAGUAGUCUUAAGGUUCAGUUGCAAGCUCAAAGCUGUAAUCACCACAAGAUUGAGUGUAUGUAUAGCAGCUUAGUAAAGACAAACUGAGUAUAUGUAUAGCAGCUUAGUAAGGCAAAAUUACAAACAUACAUAGGUUGAUCAUGCAACGGAUAUGCCAAAAAAGAUUGGCUUGUACAUGAAUUAAUGGAUAUAUACAGGUUGAGUACUUCAGUUGCCUACAAACACAUAAAAUGGACAAUGAAUAUUUGCCUACUACAGCAAAACCUCAUCUCUAUUUGCCUGCAUAUUGUGUUGGUUGCCUACAAACCAAAAAUCGAACCGCAGGGAUUCUGUAUAGUUGACACAAACAAAAUGCCUAAACUGCUUUUCUCAAGAUCCCGUGACUGAAGGUCGUGGGUACCAAAUUGUAAUAUAUGAGCAUUAGUACCUCUUAGGUAGCACAGAAAUUCGUUGGAACUUCAACAAGAGCGGAACGGAGGCGAAUACACGGGCACAUAAAUUAGACAAAUAAAUGAAAGAUAAAAAUAGCUUUUCUGAAUAAUGUAGAGGCCCAGCCACUUGUUGUUGAUCUUGCAAGAUGUGUUGGGAUCCCACAAGAAUCAAAUGCCUCAGGAAUCUCCUCCCUGCAUGAUCCAGUGCCAACAAAAUUCUGAGAUGAUGAACACAAGAGGGAAACAAAAAGGCGGCGGCCGUACUGUGGAG